GACAGAGUGCCAAGCGUUAGGCGGAAUCACUGGGCUUAAAGCGUGUGUAGGUGGAUCUGUAAGUAUACUUGUGGAAAUCCCACCGGCUUCAACCGUGGAACUGCUCGAUAUAGCUGCGGGUCUUGAGGUACCUAGGGGCGAGACGGAACAAAUGGUGGAGCGGUGAAAUGCGUAGAUAUCAUUUGGAACGCCAGUAGUGAAAACAGCUCGCUGGGGGUAUCCUGACACGUGAGACACGGAA
rnacentral:rRNA from 1 species